ACACAAUAAUAUCCAAAACCUUUUGGAUCAACCCAACCUUAGUGAACCGUUUACUUUUACCUUAAUUCAAUCUAAAGCUUUCUAAAACUCAAUCUGAUUUGUAUAAUGUCUGAUUCUUUUCUUUUCGGAUAACUCUGAAAGAAAAAAAUACUAACGUAAUA
rnacentral:misc_RNA from 1 species